AAUCUAAGAAAGGAAGACACCUUAUUUGAUUCCCUCGUUCAUUUGAUGAAGCCGCGCCUAACGCACCCAUCAAUGGCCUCUUCCCUUACUGUUUCCCCUGUAGCCCCACUUCCUGCUCGGAUCACCGGUAAUUUUGCGCCCUCCGAUCGAAAGCUAAAUAUCACCGUCAGAUUCCGUGAACCUCGCAUCAGAUGGCCUAACGUCACCGUUUCUGCUUCUGCUGACAAGGAAGGGAAAAAGGGUCAGGCGCUUGAGCUUCAGAGGAUGGUACAUGAGUUACCCUACGAAGUCAUGAAAGAUUCGUCGCCUUUGCUGCCUAGGCCUUUGUCUUCUGCUCAAUUUUCAAAUGUGAUCUCUGAUGGAUCCCGCCUACGGGUUGCAUACCAGGGAGUUCCUGGGGCUUUCAGUGAGUCCGUGGCGGAGAAAGCAUACCCAAACUGUGAAGCUGUUCCAUGCGAGCAAUUUGACACUGCUUUCGAAGCUGUUGAACGGUGGCUUGUGGACAGAGCUGUUCUACCAAUUGAGAAUUCUUUAGGUGGGAGCAUCCACAGAAAUUAUGAUCUUUUACUCAGACACAGGUUGCACAUAGUAGGGGAGGUUAAUCUUGCUGUCCGUCAUUGCUUACUAGCCAAUCAUGGUGUUAAACUUGUGGACUUAAAAAGGGUUCUGAGCCAUCCACAGGCUCUCGCUCAAUGUGAGAACACAUUAACAAAAUGGCGGUUAGUCAGGGAAGCCGUGGAUGAUACUGCUGGUGCAGCAAAGCAUGUUGCACUCCACAAACUACAAGAUACAGCGGCAAUUGCAAGCUCAGCUGCGGGGAUGAUCUAUGGUUUGAACAUUCUUGCUGAGGAUAUUCAGGAUGAUUGUGAUAAUGUUACUCGAUUUCUGAUACUGGCAAGGGAGCCCAUCAUUCCUGGCACAGAUAGGCCGUUCAAGACAAGUAUAGUUUUCUCAUUGGAGAAGGGUCCUGGAGUUCUUUUCAAGGCACUUGCUGUUUUUGCUCUAAGGCAAAUCAACCUUACCAAGAUUGAAAGUCGGCCUCUGAGGAAUCAACCCCUGCGAGCAGAUUACAACACUAAUGGGUCUAUGAAGUAAUUUCAAUACUUUGAUUAUCUUUUCUAUGUGGAUUUUGAAGCAUCGAUGGCUGAUGAGAAUGCUCAAAAUGCUCUGAGGCAUUUGAAGGAGUUUGCUACAUUCUUGCGAGUGCUGGGAAGUUAUCCAGUGGAUGCCACCACGACAUGAAUAUGCCAGUGAAUGUGAAUACAAAUGCAAUUGGAUCACUUCUGAUAGCACAGUUUCUUGCUAUUGUUUCCCCACAAAUGUUAUAUGAAGCUUCUCACACAUGCUAGUACAGAAUCCCAGCUAUGCAACAUAGAUGCAAUUUUGUAGCCUCUUUAAUAGCACUUUUCAUAUGGUUACUAGAAUAAGUAGAAGUUUUCAUUAGAAGAUAUACUAGUUUUCAGUUACUUGCUUUAUUAGUUAUUUGUUACGUAUGAAGGAAAUGUUUAGUGAACGUGCUGUAUAUAAUCAGAUUACAGGUUCAUUGGUAGAAAAACUUGGCUACUGAAAUCUUGGGUGCCCAAUUUCUAGUAUAACUAAAUCUGUCAAAAAAAAGAACUUGAUUUUUUUGCUAA